UUUCAAUGAAACUUUUUUUUAAAUAGAAAAGACUAUUGAAACAUAAUGCUAAACUUCUGUCUAGUAAGAUUUCCCCCAUCACUCUCUCAUUAGUAUUAUGAGAAAACACUGGCUUUUCCUCAUCCCUAAGUAGCACUUGUGAUGACUGAGAGGUUAUGGUGACACUUCACUAUUUUCCUUUGCAUUUAUUUGACUACUAGUAAAACUUACUUCAUUCAAAGGUUUAAAGAAAGUGUAUUGGGCUUUUUAAAUGCAGGAUGAAAUUUAACUAACACUGGCUAUUCUUAUUACAUUUCUGGGCAGGGCAAUUCCCAGAAGACCUUGGAUUUGGAAUGACUUGGCAAUUAUUUGUAUAAGUUGGACAAAAAGAGAAGACUGAGGAGACUGGACAACAUAUAAAUGCAGGAGGAUGUUCAGUCUGGGAUGCCAGCAGACACGUGAUUUCAUAGAAAAAUCUUGAAAGUGAUUCCAUGGUCAGAAAUUUGAUUCUAUGGAUUUGCAUAAACUAUCUGUUUGGCUGGCCCAACUACUUGGAGAGUUUGCAGUAUAAAAACAGCACAAAAGGGUGGAGCGUGUCCAC
rnacentral:lncRNA from 13 species